rnacentral:rRNA from 1 species
CAAUAGCGUAUAUUAAAGUUGUUGCGGUUAAAAAGCUCGUAGUUGGAGUUCUGCCAGGUGACGCUCGUCCGCCCAAGUGGUGUGUACAGGGCGUGCAUCUGGCCCUUUCAAGGGGAACGUGUCUGCACUUUACUGUGUGGUGCGAGAUCCUUGACUUUUACUUUGAGGAAAUCAGAGUGUUCCAAGCAGGCUCUCGUCGUGUAUAGCUCAGCAUGGAAUAAUAGCAUUGGACUUCGUUUCUAAGCUGUUGGUUGCAAGAAGCGAGGUAAUGAUGAAGAGGGAUAGUUGGGGGCAUUCGUAUUUAACUGUCAGGGGUGAAAUUCUUGGAUUUGUUAAAGACGGACUACUGCGAAAGCAUCUGCCAUGGAUGUUUNCAUUG